rnacentral:rRNA from 1 species
ACGGGAGGCAGCAGUAGGGAAUAUUGCACAAUGGGGGAAACCCUGAUGCAGCGACGCCGCGUGAGUGAUUGAAGUAUUUCGGUAUGUAAAGCUCUAUCAGCAGGGAAGAUAAUGACGGUACCUGACUAAGAAGCCCCGGCUAACUACGUGCCAGCAGCCGCGGUAAUACGUAGGGGGCAAGCGUUAUCCGGAUUUACUGGGUGUAGAGGGAGUGUAGGUGGUCUGGUAAGUCAGAUGUGAAAGCCCGCGGCUCAACUGCGGGACUGCAUUUGAAACUAUCAGACUAGAGUGCAGGAGAGGAAAGUGGAAUUCCUAGUGUAGCGGUGAAAUGCGUAGAUAUUAGGAAGAACACCAGUGGCGAAGGCGGCUUUCUGGACUGUAACUGACACUGAGGCUCGAAAGCGUGGGGAGCAAACAGGAUUAGAUACCCUGGUA